CGGGUAGUGAGAAAGUCUAGCUGUGCCAUAGCUUCGUCAACAAUAUUUGCGAUAUUUUCAGGUCUCGCAGACACAUGGACAUAGACUAUAUCGAGAUGCUUUCUUUGAAUUACCGACGACAACAAAGAGGAUAAUUAACAUAUAUGCAUACCUGGGGACUGGACAGGUAGACAAUAAGAUAUCUGGAUGGUACAAAGUUUUGUACGCUAACAAAGUUUGUUUUAUUUUGGCAACCGAAGAACAAGCAAUGCCAGCGUGUUUGCUUUGGCGAAAAGUACGAGCGACACGAUUGGAACGUGUUCCGUGCAGGCAAGCAUACAAAGAGAGGUGUAGACACUAUAAAGGACAUAGUCAUGUGUACAGCAAAAAAGAAUGUAUCACUAAAAACAAUUGGUAGGCCUGCUUGUUGCUCAUUCAUACAAACCAUCUUUGCGGUAGAUUGCCACAGCUAGCAAUCAACGUUUUUCCGCUCGAGAAAUACUAAAAUCACAAGGACAACCUUUUCAGACAAUUUGUCUGCAAUCACGUGCUUUGCUUCCUAUAUACAGGAAUUGCCGCAUAUUGUUUUCAUUGCAAUGAUGUAGCUAAUAAAUAAGUAAUAAUGAAA